rnacentral:rRNA from 1 species
AAGCAAGUCGAACGAUGACGGAGAGCUUGCUCUUCUGAUUAGUGGCGAACGGGUGAGUAACACGUGAGCAAUCUGCCCUUGACUCUGGGAUAAGCGUUGGAAACGACGUCUAAUACCGGAUACGACCUUGGAAGGCAUCUUAUGGGGUGGAAAGAAUUUUGGUCAGGGAUGAGCUCGCGGCCUAUCAGCUAGUUGGUGAGGUAAUGGCUCACCAAGGCGACGACGGGUAGCCGGCCUGAGAGGGUGACCGGCCACACUGGGACUGAGACACGGCCCAGACUCCUACGGGAGGCAGCAGUGGGGAAUAUUGCACAAUGGGCGAAAGCCUGAUGCAGCAACGCCGCGUGAGGGACGACGGCCUUCGGGUUGUAAACCUCUUUUAGUAGGGAAGAAGGGAGCUUGCUCUUGGCGGUACCUGCAGAAAAAGCACCGGCUAACUACGUGCCAGCAGCCGCGGUAAUACGUAGGGUGCAAGCGUUGUCCGGAAUUAUUGGGCGUAAAGAGCUCGUAGGCGGUUUGUCGCGUCUGGUGUGAAAACCCGAGGCUCAACCUCGGGCCUGCAGUGGGUACGGGCAGACUAGAGUGCGGUAGGGGAGAUUGGAAUUCCUGGUGUAGCGGUGGAAUGCGCAGAUAUCAGGAGGAACACCAAUGGCGAAGGCAGAUCUCUGGGCCGUAACUGACGGUGAGGAGCGAAAGCAUGGGGAGCGAACAGGAUUAGAUACCCUGGUAGUCCAUGCCGUAAACGUUGGGAACUAGAUGUGGGGACCAUUCCACGGUCUCCGUGUCGCAGCUAACGCAUUAA